UCCAAAUUCCCUCUUAACCUGAAAAUAGUUAAAAAAAACACAUCAACAUCCCUCAAUCUCAGAUAACAUAUCUAAUCAAUUAUCUACUUCACAAUUAAUAAACCUUUCAUAAUCAAUGAUGAACAUCAAAUCUUUGCUAAUUAAACCUUAAUAAAAUAUGCAUGUGAAUGUAAAUUAAAUAAUUAUUAAUUCGUGCACGUGGGUUUGAUUACCUGGAGAAUUCUGUUAGAGUUG
rnacentral:misc_RNA from 1 species